UACGUAGGUGGCAAGCGUUAUCCGGAUUUACUGGGUGUAAAGGGAGCGUAGACGGCGAUGCAAGCCAGAUGUGAAAGCCCGGGGCUCAACCCCGGGACUGCAUUUGGAACUGUAUAGCUAGAGUGUCGGAGAGGCAGGCGGAAUUCCUAGUGUAGCGGUGAAAUGCGUAGAUAUUAGGAGGAACACUAGUGGCGAAGGCGGCCUGCUGGACGAUGACUGACGUUGAGGCUCGAAAGCGUGGGGAGCAAACAGG
rnacentral:rRNA from 1 species